rnacentral:rRNA from 1 species
GUGCCAGCAGCCGCGGUAAUACCGGCAGCCCGAGUGAUGGCCGAUCUUAUUGGGCCUAAAGCGUCCGUAGCCAGCCGAACAAGUCCGUUGGGAAAUCCACCCGCCUAACGGGUGGGCGUCCAGCGGAAACUGUCUGGCUUGGGGCCGGAGGACUCGAGGGGUACGUCCGGGGUAGGAGUGAAAUCCCGUAAUCCUGGACGGACCACCGGUGGCGAAAGCGCCUCGAGAGGACGGACCCGACGGUGAGGAACGAAAGCCAGGGUCUCGAACCGGAUUAGAUACCCCUGUAGUCC